rnacentral:lncRNA from 1 species
UUUAUUUAAUUACUUUGCUUGCAUUCAUCUCAGUUAUUGAAUAUUAGUGCUUACCCUGUUAUGUUUUAUUCGUUGGCUUGGCCCUACGAUGUGCAAUCGUAGAUUUUCAGGUAUAGGGUGAACCUUAAAUUUUGCGGUGAAAUCCUUUACUCAUACUUGAGGUUGGCAUGUAGACGUCUCUUCUGAUACUAGUAACAUGGGGGAAAAUUCAUCUAGUUUUAUUUUCAACUUCUUUUAUUUCAUAAAUACCUCAUUUGGGAAACUUUGAUGUAUUAUUUUCAUCCAAACAACACUUAAUUCUAUUUAUAAAAUUAUUCAGAUAUUAUUAAGAGUUUUUCAGUUUAAUCAGAGUUUGUAUUUCAGACAAUUUUAUUCAUUCUGCUGCGAUGUUUAAUUAAAUAGAAAUUAUGUUUUGGAUUUUAGUAAGUGACAUCCUCUUUUGAAAAAAA